rnacentral:rRNA from 1 species
AACGAACGCUGGCGGCAUGCCUAACACAUGCAAGUCGAACGAAGCCUUCGGGCUUAGUGGCGCACGGGUGCGUAACGCGUGGGAAUCUGCCCUUGGGUUCGGAAUAACAGUUAGAAAUGACUGCUAAUACCGGAUGAUGUCUUCGGACCAAAGAUUUAUCGCCCAAGGAUGAGCCCGCGUAGGAUUAGGUAGUUGGUGGGGUGAUGGCCACCAAGCCGACGAUCCUUAGCUGGUCUGAGAGGAUGAUCAGCCACACUGGGACUGAGACACGGCCCAGACUCCUACGGGAGGCAGCGGUGGGGAAUAUUGGACAAUGGGCGAAAGCCUGAUCCAGCAAUGCCGCGUGAGUGAUGAAGGCCUUAGGGUUGUAAAGCUCUUUUACCAGGGAUGAUAAUGACAGUACCUGGAGAAUAAGCUCCGGCUAACUCCGUGCCAGCAGCCGCAGUAA